CAAUGGAGGGGAGCCAGAUAGUGCAUAAAGAUCUAAGCGAGCAUGAAUUAAACGGGUGCGAUCAUACCAGCACUAAAUCACCCG
rnacentral:rRNA from 1 species